rnacentral:rRNA from 1 species
ACGGCAGCAUGAUCUAGCUUGCUAGAUUGAUGGCGAGUGGCGAACGGGUGAGUAAUACAUCGGAACGUGCCCUGUAGUGGGGGAUAACUAGUCGAAAGAUUAGCUAAUACCGCAUACGACCUGAGGGUGAAAGUGGGGGACCGCAAGGCCUCAUGCUAUAGGAGCGGCCGAUGUCUGAUUAGCUAGUUGGUGGGGUAAAGGCCCACCAAGGCGACGAUCAGUAGCUGGUCUGAGAGGACGAUCAGCCACACUGGGACUGAGACACGGCCCAGACUCCUACGGGAGGCAGCAGUGGGGAAUUUUGGACAAUGGGCGAAAGCCUGAUCCAGCAAUGCCGCGUGUGUGAAGAAGGCCUUCGGGUUGUAAAGCACUUUUGUCCGGAAAGAAAUGGCUCUGGUUAAUACCUGGGGUCGAUGACGGUACCGGAAGAAUAAGGACCGGCUAACUACGUGCCAGCAGCCGCGGUAAUACGUAGGGUCCAAGCGUUAAUCGGAAUUACUGGGCGUAAAGCGUGCGCAGGCGGUUGUGCAAGACCGAUGUGAAAUCCCCGAGCUUAACUUGGGAAUUGCAUUGGUGACUGCACGGCUAGA